AGAUGAUGCAUUUUGGUGGUGACAAAGAAUGCAGAGGGAGCAAUGUUGUGUAAGUUCCAAGGCAAGACCUUAAGAAGCUUUGUGUGUCUCUCACCUUCUUGUGUGACUCCUGGAACCACAUAAGCAAGCUUGAAGUAGACUAUGAAUGAUGAGAGACCACGAGGAGAGAGAGGCCCAGCCAGCAUCCAGUACUAUGACUCCAGAUGUACACAUCAAGCCUUGGCCUUGUCUCUGACCGUGGCCACACCAGUUACCCUAUACAAGAGCAGGAAAGAGAACCAUCCAAAGUGCCCGUCAAACACAGAAUCAUGAGAGAUAAUAGAUUCUUGUGUUUUAAGCUACUAAAUUUUUGUUUGCUGUACUACAGGUUUUUUUGGUGAAAGGAAGUUUAUCUUAACAGAUGCGGGACAAGGACAGAACUCAAAGUCAUCCCUCUUCCCACCCGAGACAAAUGCAUAUCUGAUUGCUUCCUCCGCCUGUUGCUUAUGUAAAAAUGCAGAUUCACUGAGACAGACUGAGGCAUAAGUGACUCUUCCUCUACCCUCCUCACAUGUAAAUUGUGUACUCAGUGAAAGGCUGAUCAGAAUCAAAAUAAUACAACCUUUUGUCUCUUAUCUACCUACCACCUGGAAGCCCCCACUUCGAGUUGCCCCACCUUUCCAGACUGAACCAAUGUACAUCUUAAAUGUACUGAUUGAUGUCUCAUAUCUCCCUAAAAUGUAUAAAACCAAGCUAUACCCCUAUCACUUUGGGUACAAGUCAUCAGGACCUCCUGAGGCUAUGUCACGGGCACGUCCUUAACCUUGGCAAAAUAAACUUUCUACAUUGAUUGA
rnacentral:lncRNA from 1 species